rnacentral:ncRNA from 1 species
GUACGUGGCUGGCGUUGGCCGCCGCGUCACCAUUCUCCUCUUGUCGUUGUUGCUCCGGGGCCUUGAUCGCCCCGGUUUUUUUUG